ACCCGCGUACAUGCCACCGGGGCAUCCCGGAGGCAGGAAAGGCUUCGGCCGGACAGGGAUGGGCAUGCGGCGCAUUAGGCAGUAGGCGGGGUAACGGCCCACCUAACCGACGAUGCGUAGGGGUUCUGAGAGGAAGGUCCCCCACACUGGUACUGAGACACGGACCAGACUCCUACGGGAGGCAGCAGUGAGGAAUAUUGGUCAAUGGUCGGGAGACUGAACCAGCCAAGCCGCGUGAGGGAUGAAGGUACAGAGUAUCGUAAACCUCUUCUGUCAGGGAACAAAGGCGGGGACGUGUCCCCGGAUGAGUGUACCUGAAGAAAAAGCAUCGGCUAACUCCGUGCCAGCAGCCGCGGUAAUACGGAGGAUGCGAGCGUUAUCCGGAUUUAUUGGGUUUAAAGGGUGCGCAGGCGGUCUGUUAAGUCAGCGGUCAAAGCCCGGGGCUCAACCCCGGCCCGCCGUUGAAACUGGCAGUCUCGAGUUGGAGAGAAGUAUGCGGAAUGCGCGGUGUAGCGGUGAAAUGCAUAGAUAUCGCGCAGAACUCCGAUUGCGAAGGCAGCAUGCCGGCUCCACACUGACGCUGAGGCACGAAAGCGUGGGUAUCGAACAGGAGUAGAUACCCUGGUAGUCCACGCAGUAAACGAU
rnacentral:rRNA from 1 species